UACGUAGAAGGCGAACGUUAUCCGGAUUUACUGGGCGUAAAGCGGGUGUAGACGGUUUUUUAAGUCAGUUGUGAAAUCUCCUAACUCAAUUGGGAGACUGCAAUUGAUACUGGAGAGCUUGAGGGCAUCAGAAGAAAGCAGAAUUCACGGUGUAGCGGUGAAAUGCGUAGAUAUCGUGAGGAAUACCAGUGGCGAAGGCGGCUUUCUAGGAUGCUCCUGACGUUGAGGCCCGAAAGUGUGGGGAGCGAAACGG
rnacentral:rRNA from 1 species